GGGGACGACAGGCUUCGACGCGGUCGGUUCGUGGGGGUGGUUGCGAGCCGAGGUUCCCGGUGGCCUCGUAAAACCCCGGGAAAACCAUAUGUGCGGACUCUCACGAGUACGCCCUCGCCGCCUAGCGCACAGCUAGGACUGUGAGGUCUGGCCCCCGUUUCGUCACCGGGCGGGGAAUCCGGAUCAUCAGGUGACUUACCUGGGGAGGACCGCCUCCGCCGAUCCAGGGAAAUUCUUAGAGAGGCUGGCUCCGCGCAACCCCGCCGGCGAGGCGAGCGCAGAGCGAGAUCAGACCGCCGGCUACGCUCGUAGAGAUCACCCCUUACGCGGUCGCGGACGCGGGUUCGAUUCCCGCCGUCUCCACUU
rnacentral:tmRNA from 1 species